GUCCAGGGAUGGGAAUCGAACCCACAGUGUUCCGCUUACCGGGCAGAUGCCAUGUCCACUUAUCUACCCUGGA